GCGUGCGUUCGGGGGACGCCCGGCCUAACAAACCGGAGCCCAGGGUCAGGGCCAGUCCUCCGAACUCUGC
rfam:Rhodobacterales bacterium HTCC2654 1099457000273 genomic scaffold, whole genome shotgun sequence.